rnacentral:sRNA from 1 species
CUAUCUUUUUAAAAAGAUCCAUGCUAUAAUUAAUUUUGUAAAUUUGGUUACGUGUUUUUGGUUAGAUUGUUUCAUUUGAACUAUCCCCAAUGAACCGGAUCAAGCUACAAACUAAACAAAUGCCUUAUAAGGCAUACAGGAGGAUGUUCACAAUGGAACAAGGUACAGUUAAAUGGUUUAACGCUGAUAAAGGUUUUGGUUUUAUUACUCGCGAAGAUGGUAGUGACGUAUUCGUUCACUUCUCAGCUAUCCAAGGCGACGGCUUCAAGACUCUUGAAGAAGGCCAAUCAGUUUCUUUCGAUGUUGAAGAAAGCGACCGUGGACCACAAGCAGUUAACGUAAACAAAGCAUAAUUAAAUCUUAAUUAUAAUUUUGAAACGAAAUACUUCGGUAUUUCGUUUUUUU